AUUGAACGCUGGCGGCAGGCUUAACACAUGCAAGUCGAGCGGGGGAAGGUAGCUUGCUACCGGACCUAGCGGCGGACGGGUGAGUAAUGCUUAGGAAUCUGCCUAUUAGUGGGGGACAACAUCUCGAAAGGGAUGCUAAUACCGCAUACGUCCUACGGGAGAAAGCAGGGGAUCUUCGGACCUUGCGCUAAUAGAUGAGCCUAAGUCGGAUUAGCUAGUUGGUGGGGUAAAGGCCUACCAAGGCGACCAUCUGUAGCGGGUCUGAGAGGAUGAUCGGCCACACUGGGACGGAGACACGGCCCAGACUCCGACGGGAGGCAGCAGUGGGGAAUAUUGGACAAUGGGGGGAACCCUGAUCCAGCCAUGCCGCGUGUGUGAAGAAGGCCUUAUGGUCGUAAAGCACUUUAAGCGAGGAGGAGGCUACUCUAGUUAAUACCUAGGGAUAGUGGACGUUACUCGCAGAAUAAGCACCGGCUAACUCUGUGCCAGCAGCCGCCGCCG
rnacentral:rRNA from 1 species